UAAAUCCCUCUGAAAACCAGUUACAGACUGUGAAAGCAGUGAAAGCAGUAAUACCAAGACCUACUUGUGAGUGGCAGCAAUAUGCAGCGAUGCGUCGAGACUGCCGGAAAUUCAGAAGAAGAAGAAAAACUGAAGGCACGUUGUGAGUGCGAGCAUCGCGAGAUUUGGAAACUGGCGGCGAGAUUCAACAUGGCGGCGCACUGCUACUGAGGGAACACAACAAACGCGUAAAACUAAAACCUUAAAAUAAGAAAUUAAAAGACAAUCUGAUUCAGACUGCAUGCUUCAUCCAUCCGCCACCUCCAACCCGGAACAACGCAUCACCACAGCGGAGGAUAUAACCGAACUCGAAGCAUUCAUUGACCGCUAUUACAACCUGCAGACCAGCACGGACCCGGACUCAACCAACCCAAACAAACCACAAAAGACAGACUCUUCAGGGGACACCGAUGAUCUACAAACCACCGAAAUCGAGGUGCAGUUGGUAACAUUGAGAAGAGAGAAAUUUUGUACGAGUACAGCCUGCAGGUCCCUUCUCCUCCCUCUCUGCUUCACUGCACCACCUCCACAGGCUCGUAACCAUGGCAACUGAUGUGGCCACGGACACCACAUGGUGAAUACACUGUUAUUUUGAGAGUGUGGCUCUGGACUCCGCUGAAGAAAUCACCCCCACAACUGAUACAAGGAGCAGGUGGGGAGAGGAGGGAGCUGGGGCGUCUUGUGGACCAAACACAGAGGACCUCGGCUUUUGCAGGAGGGAUCCUUGCGCCUGAUAGGGGGCCUGUAACCAACUCUCCAGAUGCAGGGGAGGACAGCAGACCACCAUAAAUCUACGUCAUGUUACAUGGCAGUGUGGGACUCUCAAAAGUGGUGAUACAAGGCCAAUGUGUCUUGUCAACCCUUUACCAAUUUCCAGCUCGGACAAUACUACUACAGUAAGCCUUGUUACAUGUAAAUAGUAUGAGUAUUUUAUUGUAAAUAGAAAGUAUGUUGAAAAAUGUAAAAAUAUUACAUGUCCAAAAAACAGCUGAAAACCACAUAAAACAGCAUGUCGAGACACAUCAUAGUAUAUAGCAUGUCAAAUAAACACCCCAAAAUAUCAUUAUGUAGCAUGUGGGAAAAAAAUGACCAAAACGUAAUAGUUUAGUAUAUCCAAAAAAUGUAAAAAAUAUUACAUGUCCAAAAAACACCUGAAAUGUACAAAAAAUAGCACGUUUAAGACAAUUCAUAUUAUAGAAUGUUGAAAAAAAACCCAUUGUAAUAUGGUUAUGGUUUGGGGGUUUUGUUUUCUAGUUUUUCCUUG